rnacentral:rRNA from 1 species
CAAUUGGAGAGUUUGAUCCUGGCUCAGAACGAACGCUGGCGGCGUGCCUAACACAUGCAAGUCGAGCGCGAAUAGGGGCAACCCUUAGUAGAGCGGCG